AUGUCUAGCUUCAUUGGUGUUCUUGUCUCUGAUCCAUGGCUUCAGAGCCAAUUCACCCAAGUGCAGCUUCGAACGCUCCAAACAAAAUUCACUUCCGCAAAGAGAUCGGAUGCUGAGCAUGUAACUAUAAAAGAUUUGCCGCCAGUGAUGGAGGAGCUUAGGGGCAUUCAGGAGGUUCUAACCGAGGAGGAUAUCACAAACUUUUUGAGCGAGUCUUACCCUGAUAUGAACCAGUCAAUCGAAUUUGAGCAGUUCCUUAGGGAGUACUUAAGCCUUAAAGCUAAGGGAACCAGCAAAUCAGGAGGCCAAAAGAACUUGAAGGGAUCAGUGUCCUUUUUGAAGGCAUCGACCACUACUCUCUUGCAUGUCAUUAAUGAGUCUGAAAAAAUUUCUUAUGUCAAUCAUAUCAAUAAUUUUCUCGGGGACGACCCUUUCCUGAAGAAUUUCUUGCCAUUGGAUCCAACAUCAAAUGAUUUAUUUAAUCUCAUUGGGGAUGGUGUUCUGCUUUGCAAGUUGAUCAACAUUGCUGUUCCCGGCACAAUAGACGAGAGAGCGAUCAAUACAAAGAAGGAUUUGAAUCCAUGGGAGAGGAAUGAGAACCACACUCUUUGUCUCAACUCUGCCGAGGCCAUUGGUUGUACUCUAGUUAACAUUGGGACACAAGAUCUGAUUGAAGCCAGACCUCAUCUAGUUCUUGGUUUGCUAUCCCAAAUCAUAAAGAUACAACUCUUAGCUGAUUUGAAUCUGAAGAAAACACCUGAGUUGUUGGAGUUGGUGGCUGAUGAUAACAGCAAGGAAGUAGAGGAUCUUGUCAACUUAGCACCAGAUAAGAUGUUGCUCAAAUGGAUGAACUUCCAUAUCAAGAAAGCAGGGUACAAGAAAACUGUAACAAAUUUCUCUACUGAUGUUAAGGAUGGUGAAGCGUAUGCUUACCUUCUCAGUGCCCUUGCUCCCGAGCAUAGCUCAACAACCCUGAUAGAAACUACAGAUCCUAAAGAAAGGGCAAAGAAAGUACUUGAAACUGCCGAAAAGCUUGAUUGUACAAGAUAUGUAACAUCUAAAGAUAUUGUUGAGGGUUCAGCAAAUCUGAACUUGGCAUUUGUUGCAGAAAUAUUCCAGCACAGAAAUGGUUUAUCAUCGAACAAUGUGGCUCCUGUCAUCGAAGAUACCCCUGGUGAUGUUAGGACAGGAUCCGUUCUGCUGGUGGUGCUUGACAAAACAAAAAGCUAUGUUUCCUUGAUUCUUUCCACUGCAUAUGGUAUUUUUUGCUACCUGAUGAACCAGUCGCAUUUGUUUUUUCUCUACCUCCGGCGAAAUUUUCCAAGGGGUUCAAACAGAAUUCCACGAGAAAAACCGGAAUAG
rnacentral:rRNA from 1 species